rnacentral:rRNA from 1 species
ACCUGGUGGCGAGUGGCGAACGGGUGAGUAAAGCAUCGGAACGUACCCUAGAGUGGGGGAUAACUAUCCGAAAGGAUAGCUAAUACCGCAUAUUCUAUGAGUAGGAAAGCGGGGGAUCUUCGGACCUCGCGCUCUAGGAGCGGCCGAUGUCAGAUUAGGUAGUUGGUGGGGUAAAGGCCUACCAAGGCGAUGAUCAGUAGCCGGUCUGAGAGGAUGAACGGCCACAUUGGGACUGAGACACGGCCCAAACUCCUACGGGAGGCAGCAGUGGGGAAUCUUCCGCAAUGGACGAAAGUCUGACGGAGCAACGCCGCGUGAGUGAUGAAGGAUUUCGGUCUGUAAAGCUCUGUUGUUUAUGACGAACGUGCAGUGUGUGAACAAUGCAUUGCAAUGACGGUAGUAAACGAGGAAGCCACGGCUAACUACGUGCCAGCAGCCGCGGUAAUACGUAGGUGGCGAGCGUUGUCCGGAAUUAUUGGGCGUAAAGAGCAUGUAGGCGGCUUAAUAAGUCGAGCGUGAAAAUGCGGGGCUCAACCCCGUAUGGCGCUGGAAACUGUUAGGCUUGAGUGCAGGAGAGGAAAGGGGAAUUCCCAGUGUAGCGGUGAAAUGCGUAGAUAUUGGGAGGAACACCAGUGGCGAAGGCGCCUUUCUGGACUGUGUCUGACGCUGAGAUGCGAAAGCCAGGGUAGCGAACGGGAUUAGAUACCCCGGUAGUCCUGGCCGUAAACGAUGGGUACUAGGUGUUGCGGGUAUUGACCCCUGCAGUGCCGUAGCUAACGCAUUAAGUACUCCGCCUGGGG